rnacentral:rRNA from 1 species
UACGAAGGGGGCUAGCGUUGUUCGGAAUUACUGGGCGUAAAGCGCACGUAGGCGGAUACUUAAGUCAGGGGUGAAAUCCCGGGGCUCAACCCCGGAACUGCCUUUGAUACUGGGUAUCUACGAGUCCGGAAGAGGUGAGUGGAAUUCCGAGUGUAGAGGUGAAAUUCGUAGAUAUUCGGAGGAACACCAGUGGCGAAGGCGGCUCACUGGUCCGGUACUGACGCUGAGGUGCGAAAGCGUGGGGAGCAAACAGGG